rnacentral:rRNA from 1 species
AUUAGCGGCGGACGGGUGAGUAAUACCUAGGAAUCUGCCUGGUAGUGGGGGACAACGUUUCGAAAGGAACGCUAAUACCGCAUACGUCCUACGGGAGAAAGCAGGGGACCUUCGGGCCUUGCGCUAUCAGAUGAGCCUAGGUCGGAUUAGCUAGUUGGUGGGGUAAUGGCUCACCAAGGCGACGAUCCGUAACUGGUCUGAGAGGAUGAUCAGUCACACUGGAACUGAGACACGGUCCAGACUCCUACGGGAGGCAGCAGUGGGGAAUAUUGGACAAUGGGCGAAAGCCUGAUCCAGCCAUGCCGCGUGUGUGAAGAAGGUCUUCGGAUUGUAAAGCACUUUAAGUUGGGAGGAAGGGCAUUAACCUAAUACGUUAGUGUUUUGACGUUACCGACAGAAUAAGCACCGGCUAACUCUGUGCCAGCAGCCGCGGUAAUACAGAGGGUGCAAGCGUUAAUCGGAAUUACUGGGCGUAAAGCGCGCGUAGGUGGUUCGUUAAGUUGGAUGUGAAAUCCCCGGGCUCAACCUGGGAACUGCAUCCAAAACUGGCGAGCUAGAGUAGGGCAGAGGGUGGUGGAAUUUCCUGUGUA